AAGUUGGAUUCCAUGGGUUCCAAGAGGCGAAGAGCAACCUCGCCGUCCAGCAGUGUGAGCGGAGGGGACUUCGAUGAUGGCCACCACUCCACGAAUAUCCCAGGCCCCAGCAGGAAGAGAAGGAGGCUUUCAAAUCUCCCGACUGUGGAUCCUAUUGCUGUAUGCCAUGAACUUUACAACACCAUCAGAGAUUACAAAGAUGAACAGGGCAGGCUCCUUUGUGAGCUUUUCAUUAGGGCACCGAAACGAAGAAAUCAACCAGACUAUUAUGAAGUGGUUUCACAGCCUAUUGAUUUAAUGAAAAUCCAACAGAAGCUGAAGAUGGAGGAAUAUGAUGAUGUGAAUGUGCUGACUGCUGAUUUUCAGCUUCUCUUUAACAAUGCAAAGGCUUACUACAAGCCCGAUUCUCCUGAAUAUAAAGCUGCUUGCAAGUUAUGGGAGUUGUAUUUGCGCACAAAAAAUGAAUUUGUUCAAAAAGGAGAUGCUGAAGAGGAGGAUGAAGAUGAGGAAGGACAUGACAGUCAAGAACUAUCAUCUCCAGGUUAUCUGAAGGAGAUUCUUGAACAGCUUCUGGAAGCUGUAGCUGUUGCCACGAAUCCAUCAGGACGCCUGAUAAGUGAACUGUUCCAGAAGCUACCUUCUAAAGUGCAAUAUCCAGAUUAUUAUGCAAUAAUAAAGGAGCCCAUAGAUCUUAAAACUAUUGCCCAAAGGAUUCAGAAUGGAACUUAUAAAAGCAUUCAUGCAAUGGCCAAGGAUAUAGAUCUUCUCGCAAAGAAUGCCAAAACCUACAACGAGCCUGGAUCCCAAGUGUUCAAGGAUGCAAAUGCAAUUAAAAAAAUAUUUAAUAUGAAAAAGGCUGAAAUUGAGCACAGCGAGCUGGCCAAGUCAAGUCUCCGACUCAGUAACAAAAGAUCAGCCCAGGGGGAUCGUUUAUCAGCAAUAACCAUGGCAUUGCAGUAUGGAUCAGAAAGUGAUGAGGAUGCUGCUUUGGCUGCUGCUGCUCGUUAUGAAGGAGAGUCUGAAGCUGAGAGUAUUACUUCCUUCAUGGACACUUCUAAUCCUCUCUAUCAGCUUUAUGAUACAGUUAGAAGUUGCCGAAAUAAUCAGGGCCAGCUAAUAUCUGAACCCUUUUUCCAGUUGCCCUCCAAGAAAAAGUAUCCUGAUUAUUACCAGCAAAUUAAAACACCUAUUUCAUUGCAGCAGAUCAGAGCUAAACUGAAGAACCACGAGUAUGAAACAUUAGAUCAGUUGGAGGCUGACCUGAACUUAAUGUUUGAAAAUGCCAAGCGUUACAAUGUCCCCAAUUCUGCCAUCUAUAAGAGAGUUCUGAAAAUGCAGCAGGUUAUGCAGGCAAAGAAGAAGGAGCUUGCUCGGAGAGAUGACAUUGAGGAUGGGGACAGUAUGAUUUCUUCUGCUACAUCUGAUACUGGAAGCUCCAAAAGGAAAAGUAAAAAGAACAUGCGAAAGCAACGAAUGAAGAUCUUGUACAACGCAGUUCUGGAAGCUCGAGAGUCGGGCACAGGCAGACGGCUCUGCGACCUGUUUAUGGUUAAGCCAUCCAAAAAGGACUAUCCAGAUUACUAUAAAAUUAUCUUAGAGCCAAUGGACUUGAAAAUGAUAGAACACAACAUCCGUAAUGAUAAGUAUGUAGGGGAAGAAGCCAUGAUUGACGACAUGAAGCUCAUGUUCCGAAAUGCAAGGCAUUAUAAUGAGGAAGGCUCCCAGGUAUACAAUGAUGCCCAUAUGCUGGAAAAGAUCCUCAAAGAAAAAAGGAAAGAACUGGGACCACUGCCUGAAGAUGAUGAUGUUGCAUCCCCUAAACUAAAGCUAAGUAGAAAAAGUGGCAUUUCCCCCAAAAAAUCGAAAUACAUGACCCCAAUGCAGCAGAAAUUGAACGAGGUGUAUGAAGCAGUUAAGAAUUACACGGACAAACGGGGCAGGCGGCUGAGCGCCAUCUUCUUGCGGCUGCCGUCUCGGUCUGAGCUGCCCGACUACUACAUAACCAUUAAGAAGCCGGUUGACAUGGAGAAGAUCAGAAGUCACAUGAUGGCCAAUAAAUACCAGGAUAUCGAUUCCAUGGUAGAAGACUUUGUGAUGAUGUUCAACAACGCUUGCACCUACAAUGAGCCAGAAUCUUUGAUUUACAAAGAUGCCCUGGUCCUGCAUAAAGUUUUGCUUGAAACUCGAAGAGAGAUAGAAGGAGAUGAGGAUUCUCAUGUGCCCAAUGUGACUUUGCUAAUUCAGGAACUUAUCCAUAACCUUUUUGUAUCUGUUAUGAGCCACCAGGAUGAUGAGGGCAGAUGCUACAGUGAUUCCCUAGCUGAGAUUCCUGCUGUUGAUCCCAACUUCCCAAAUAAACCUCCUCUGACUUUUGACAUUAUCCGAAAAAAUGUUGAAAAUAAUCGCUAUAGACGACUGGAUUUGUUCCAGGAGAACAUGUUUGAGGUACUGGAGAGGGCAAGGAGAAUGAACAGGACGGAUUCAGAGAUUUAUGAGGAUGCAGUUGAACUUCAGCAGUUCUUCAUUAAAAUUCGAGAUGAACUCUGUAAAAAUGGAGAGAUUCUUCUGUCUCCUGCUCUCAGUUAUACCACCAAGCACCUUCACAAUGAUGUAGAAAAAGAGAAGAAGGAAAAGCUACCCAAAGAAAUAGAGGAGGAUAAACUCAAAAGAGAGGAGGAGAAAAGAGAAGCUGAAAAGAGUGAAGACUCCUCUGGCUCAGCUGGGCUGUCAUGCUUGCAUCGGACCUACAGCCAGGAUUGCAGCUUCAAGAACAGCAUGUACCACGUAGGAGACUACGUCUAUGUGGAGCCUGCUGAAGCCAACUUGCAACCUCACAUAGUCUGUAUUGAGAGGCUAUGGGAAGAUUCUGCUGGAGAGAAAUGGCUGUAUGGCUGUUGGUUUUAUCGACCAAAUGAAACAUUUCAUCUUGCAACAAGAAAGUUCUUGGAGAAAGAGGUUUUUAAAAGUGACUAUUAUAAUAAAGUUCCAGUUAGCAAAAUUUUGGGUAAAUGUGUGGUCAUGUUUGUUAAGGAAUAUUUUAAACUGUGUCCUGAAAACUUUAGAGAUGAGGAUGUGUAUGUCUGCGAGUCGCGUUAUUCCGCUAAGACAAAAUCUUUUAAGAAGAUUAAGCUGUGGACUAUGCCUGUCAGCUCUGUAAGAUUCGUCCCACGGGAUGUGCCCCUGCCUGUGGUCCGUGUUGCUUCUGUAUUUGCUAAUACAGACAAAGCAGAGGAGGAGAAGCACUCUGAUACGUUAGAUGACAGUAAGGUGGGAGAAAGUAUCCUUCAUCUCGAAAAGGACAAGGAAGAUGUACCAGUAGAAAUGUCUAAUGGGGAGCCUGGUUGCCAUUACUUUGAGCAGCUCUGUUACAAUGAUAUGUGGCUUAAGGUUGGGGACUGCGUCUUCAUAAAAUCGCACGGAUUAGUGCGGCCUCGGGUAGGGAGAAUUGAAAAGAUGUGGGUGCGAGAUGGAGCUGCGUAUUUCUUUGGUCCAAUCUUCAUCCAUCCUGAAGAAACUGAACAUGAGCCAACUAAAAUGUUCUACAAGAAGGAAGUGUUUCUGAGUAACUUGGAGGAGACCUGUCCUAUGUCGUGCAUUUUGGGCAAGUGUGCUGUUCUGUCGUUCAAGGACUUCCUCUGCUGCAGACCAACUGAAAUUUCUGAGAAUGAUGUUUUCCUGUGUGAGAGCCGCUACAACGAAAGCGACAAACAAAUGAAGAAAUUUAAGGGGCUCAAGAGAUUUUCACUCUCUGCAAAAGUUGUCGAUGAUGAAAUAUACUAUUUUAGAAAACCCAUAGUUCCUCAGAAGGAACCAUCUCCACUUCUGGAGAAGAAAAUCCAGCAGCUAGAAGCAAAGUUUGCUGAGCUGGAAGGAGGCGAUGAGGACAUGGAAGAGAUAGGAGAAGAGGAAGGUGAUAUCACUGAAACACCUUCCAUGCCUCAGCUUCAGACCCCGUUAUCUAGUGAAUUGGAUAUCAUGCCUUAUACUCCACCACAGUCCACUCCCAAGUCUGUUAAGGGCAGCACCAAGAAGGAGGGAUCAAAAAGGAAGAUCAACAUGAGUGGUUACAUCCUAUUUAGCAGUGAGAUGAGAGCUGUGAUUAAAGCUCAGCACCCAGACUACUCCUUUGGAGAGCUCAGCAGGCUUGUAGGAACUGAAUGGAGAAACCUGGAAGCAACAAAGAAAGCAGAAUAUGAAGUGACAGUUCUCAUCUUUCACCAACUGCAAGAGAACUUCCAGCCCUGCAUUCACUGUUGUUAACAUUUGCUGGAGAUGUAUGCUGCAUUCAUUAUCCUUUGUUGUUCCUCAUUGCGUCAGUAAGAGAUGAUGUUCAGAGUGAACAACCAGCAACUUGCAUGCUCCAGAAGCACCUUCAGUGGGCAUUCGAGCGGGCAGCUAAAGUUGCUGAGCAGCAGGAGAGAGAGCGAGCAGCACAGCAGCAGAAUCCCUCCCCCCGGGCAGGCACUCCUGUCGGGGCUCUUAUGGGGGUGGUGCCGCCACCAACACCAAUGGGGAUGCUCAAUCAGCAGUUGACACCCGUUGCAGGUAAAACGUAGGAGCUACGACCAUUUUUCCUCAUCCACUAUAUCAACCCCCUUCAUAACUGAACACACUCUUGGGUCACUUUGUUCUUACGGAGGAAAACGCUCGGCCUCUUCAGUCUUCCUUCACGGUGAAUAUGCGUAUCUGCAGCAGUAGGGUGGCAGCCCCAGUGCCCUGCCCCAGCAGUGGGCAUUCUGGUGGAAACACAGGGAAGAAGCCUCCUCCUUGUGAGGCAGGCCUGUGCUGUUUGUAUGCAGUUAUGUUUACUGGCUCUACUUUGCAGAAGUCGUGUUUGUUCUCGCUGCAGCAGUGGUGCUGGGAGCUGAAUACUCUUUGAGUGUAAGCAGCAUCAGCGGAGGUGGUUCAGGAGGAGACAGAGGACUUGUUUUUGUUGUCGGGAUGCGAGAGGCAAAAGAAAAUCCAACCCAAAUUUAAUAUCGAAACUCCAGAAUUACGAUUAGACAUGAGCGCAGCUGGCUAGGUGCUGGAGUCAUUGCAAAACCAAGUAUGAAAUGUCAGCACUGCUGGUUUUUAUCAGGUGAUUUGCAGAAUAGACCUCAGCUUUGAGAACUCUUCUCUGUGGUUCCUGUUGGUUUUUUUUCUUGUUGCCAGUCAUACUCCAACUUGACUCAUAGGCAGUGUGUCCAGGUCCUACGUGAGGACUGCAUAGUCCAUAGGAAGUUCUUGUAUGAGAAUCAGCUGUACAUCUGCGAGAGGAUGGAUUAGGAUGGAUCUGACCUGAUGGGUUGCUUUUCUUCUCCCAUUUCUGAUUAGGAAGGAUUGGGUAGCAUCAGUCAAGGUUGAAAUAGUCCUGAGUUAGGUAAAAGUGAAUAGUUGGAUGAAUGACUAGUUUUUUGUUUUCUUUUUGUUGUGUGGUUUGAUUUGGUUUGUGAGUUCUUGGUUGUUGGUUUUUUUUUAACUUCAGGCAUUCAAAUUAUUCCAUUUAUUCUUUUGUUCUUUUUUCUUUCCCGCCUUGCAGGCUGUGGCCAUACUUAGAACUGAUGGCCUGAAGUAUUUUUCAUCCUGGUUUCUAAACCCUUUUUCAGUGCAUUGGUUGGAGGGAUGCUUAGACUGAAGGCAUAUCUCUUACAUAGUUUACCACCUCCAGGUUACAAAAGCAGUUGUUUAUACUGAUAUUUCUUUUUGCCUUAAAAAAAUAAAAUGUAAGAAACGCCUUUGUUCUUUGAACACCUUUCAGAUUUUGUGUCUUGCGGUGGUGUUUGUGUGCGUGUGCAUAUAUUUCAAAAAGAAAGAGAAGGAAAACUAGCUCCAGUGCUGGUCGUCUUUGUGAGCAAUCUUUGAUCUAGAUGAGGUGGCGAUGACUAGGAAUGUCAUCAUCUCAUGGUUGUUUUUUAUCUUGGUUUGGUUCCUGCUUUUUCAUAUUGUCACAUUUCCAACUAUGUGUGUUCCCUGCCAUCCUGCAGCAGCCUCCUCAUAAAGCACACUUCUGUUCAAGGCCAUAAUCUUGCAGUUCAAGCAGUUAGAAGUUCAAGUCUCGUUACUCAGCCAUUGUGAAAUACUUCUUUAGGAGGAUGACCAAGUGGAUCUUUAUAAACUCUUGCUGGUUUUGUCCCAUUUGCAGUCUUUCCUCUUUUGGUUUCCACAAGUGUCUUAUUCCAUGCAGACUUUUCAAACCUUCCUCCAUCUUUGAGUCACAGUUUUAAGCCCAUCUUUAAGUCACAGUUGCUUUUCUCUGUUUCUGAGAUCUUUUUCAUCGUAAGACUUUUUUACAGUCCACAGGUGCAAGAAAUCAUGAUGCCUUCUGAGAUGCAUUUCUCUCAGCACACAGUGCUCUAGUUGCUUUCAAAUUUAGGACCUACAAUAGCUUAUUUAAUCUCACAUUGUUACAGUUCAAAGAAAUGGGAGGAAGAGUAAGUUGAAAGGCAGUAAAUCACAGCUGUGGGAGCUGAAAAUAGUUCACCAGGUAUACUAGUUUAAAAUCAAAGUGAUAAUUUGUACGUGAGGAAUGACAGUGGCUGUUUGUAUAACCUUGUGAUGAGCUAAAAAAACAGAUUUCCUAUGGAGACUUUUCUACGUGUCAUUAAUCUAAUCAGCUGCUCAGUAUUUUGUUUGGAAAUGCAGGAAUGGGCUUUUGUGAUGGACAAAGAUGGGUUUGUUUCAUUGGAAAUUUGGUUCUGUUUUGUAUUUUUUGUGGAUUUUGUUUUGUUUUUUCUUCUCUUUAAAAGCUUCAGAAGCUUACAGAGGUGCACUGAUGGUGUGACUGCAGUGUGGGGUGCACUGCAAGUACCAGGCAGCAGCUACAGUCAAAGCACAUUAUUCCAGGGAUGCUUUUAUCCUUUCUUCUUUUACUUCUGCCAUUAGCAGUACAGAUUGCACUGUAUUGAUAAGGUGGAACAGAUAAGCUUCUAGAUAUAUGAAAUAGUAUCCAAAAUCAGUGUCAGUCUGGGUGUCCUGUGUAUUCAAAGAAAAUGAAUGUUUGAAGAUCAGUUCUUUGUUCCAAGUCAGGCUUUGGAAUUGCAGGUUUCUCACCUUUGUCACCCUUGCUGGGCAGGUGACGAAUCUGGCUCACAUGUUGGAGCCACUCAAGCUGCUCGGAUCUUGAGCUCACAACAGCUUUGCUGCUGAAAAAUGUUCAGUCAGAGCUGAUGUUGAUUUUUUAUUUUUUUUUUCCUGACAUUUUUAUUCCAGAGAUCUCUGCUUUGAAAGUUUCUUUUAUGGGUUACUUGGAGUGUGGCAAAGACUUUGUAAGUUAUUGCUUGGAGCAGGUUACAGAAAGCCCAGCAGUUCUCAUUUCUAAACUUACCUUUUUUCUUUAGACUUGCUUCUGUCCCCUCUCAAUCUUUUUGUUGCCUUUCCAACACCUUUCCUUGUUUCUCUGAUUUAAAAGCAUAGAAAACAAACAAGAAAAUAGGCAAGUUUAAGUUCUAGCAGCUAGCAUUACCUGCAUUGUCUGGGUGCACUUAAAUGAUGGCAGUGAACCUGAGUCACAACCAGAAUCAGCCCUUAAGUCGUCUUCCUCACAUGCUGAAAAACAAAAUUAUGAGCAGCAGUGCAGUAUCUUUGUGUUCCCUAUUAAGAUGCUUUGAGAGCAGUGGGGUACGAUGUGAUUUACAGCCAGGGGCCAGAUGAGUCCUUGUCAGCUCUUUUACCUUCAGUCAAGUGCUGUGAGUGCAGGUCUGCAGCCCAGUGCUCUCCGGCCCCACGCUGUAGUGAUUUCCUUGAUUUGUACUGAAAAUGGUAUAAGAACAGUCAUCCCUGUCACUGCCUUUGAUUUUAAGCAUAUGGACUUUUAAAUGGAAAUUUUGCAUAUUCACUGCAGAAAAAACGUGUAGAUCUUUAUUUUUUCUGGUCAGGUCUCUGAGCCAGCCCACACACCAGGGCUGUGUGCAGGGCUAGUGUAGUUAGUGUUGUGUCUGUAACCUGUAUGCAGAUGGCAGAGCUUUAAGCCGCGUUAAAAUCGCUUGUUAGUAACAUUUAAUUGUGGCUGAAUUUAUCCCUUGUGUUAACAUGUCUCAGUAUUCAGCAUUUAUUGCCCCCAUGAGAAGCCUACGAAUACACUAAAUACUAAUUCAUCAACAGUGCAGUGUUUCAUAUCGAUAACUUGAUUUCAUUUUUGCGAGAUACUAAUUGUAGUCUCGUCUUGCUCUACUAAGGGUGCUUUCGAUUUCAUUUUAUUUUUUGUGGAUAGUGCAUGAUUUACUGUAUAGAUCAUAUUGCAUGUCAUUGAUGCAUGUUUGAAAUUUGUUGU